GUGGGGAAUAUUGGACAAUGGGCGAAAGCCUGAUCCAGCCAUGCCGCGUGUGUGAAGAAGGUCUUCGGAUUGUAAAGCACUUUAAGUUGGGAGGAAGGGCAGUAAGUUAAUACCUUGCUGUUUUGACGUUACCGACAGAAUAAGCACCGGCUAACUUCGUGCCAGCAGCCGCGGUAAUACGAAGGGUGCAAGCGUUAAUCGGAAUUACUGGGCGUAAAGCGCGCGUAGGUGGUUUUGUAAGUUGGAGGUGAAAUCCCCGGGCUCAACCUGGGAACUGCCUCCAAAACUGCAUGACUAGAGUACGGUAGAGGGUAGUGGAAUUUCCUGUGUAGCGGUGAAGUGCGUAGAUAUAGGAAGGAACACCAGUGGCGAAGGCGACUACCUGGACUGAUACUGACACUGAGGUGCGAAAGCGUGGGGAGCAAACAGGAUUAGAAACCCUGGUAGUCC
rnacentral:rRNA from 1 species